ACUCAAAUGAAUUGACGGGGGCCCGCACAAGCGGUGGAGCAUGUGGUUUAAUUCGAUGCAACGCGAAGAACCUUACCAGGAUUUGACAUGUACUGGAAGACUAGCAGAGAUGCUGUCGCCCGCAAGGGCCGGUACACAGGUGCUGCAUGGCUGUCGUCAGCUCGUGUCGUGAGAUGUUGGGUUAAGUCCCGCAACGAGCGCAACCCUUGCCUUUAGUUGCCAGCAUUUAGUUGGGCACUCUAGAGGGACUGCCGACGUUAAGUCGGAGGAAGGUGGGGAUGACGUCAAGUCCUCAUGGCCCUUAUAUCCUGGGCUACACACGUGCUACAAUGGUAGUCACAGAGGGAAGCCAACCCGCAAGGGGGAGCUAAUCCCUUAAAAGCUAUCCAAGUUCAGAUUGCAGUCUGCAACUCGACUGCAUGAAGGCGGAAUCGCUAGUAAUCGCGGAUCAGAACGCCGCGGUGAAUACGUUCCCGGGCCUUGUACACACCGCCCGU
rnacentral:rRNA from 1 species